UACGGGAGGCAGCAGUGAGGGAUAUUGGUCAAUGGGGGAAACCCUGAACCAGCAACGCCGCGUGAGGGAAGACGGUUUUCGGAUUGUAAACCUCUGUCCUCUGUGAAGAUGAUGACGGUAGCAGAGGAGGAAGCUCCGGCUAACUACGUGCCAGCAGCCGCGGUAAUACGUAGGGAGCAAGCGUUGUCCGGAUUUACUGGGUGUAAAGGGUGCGUAGGCGGCUUUGCAAGUCAGAAGUGAAAUCCAUGGGCUUAACCCAUGAACUGCUUUUGAAACUGCAGAGCUUGAGUGGAGUAGAGGUAGGCGGAAUUCCCGGUGUAGCGGUGAAAUGCGUAGAGAUCGGGAGGAACACCAGUGGCGAAGGCGGCCUGCUGGGCUCUAACUGACGCUGAGGCACGAAAGCGUGGGUAGCAAACAGGAUUAGAUACCCUGGUAGUCCACGCUGUAAACGAUGAUUACUAGGUGUGGGU
rnacentral:rRNA from 1 species